rnacentral:rRNA from 1 species
UACGGGGGGAGCAAGCGUUGUUCGGAUUUACUGGGCGUAAAGGGCGCGUAGGCGGCCACCGCACGUCGGUUGUGAAAUCUCUGGGCUUAACCCAGAAAGGUCAACCGAUACUGCGGGGCUAGAGUGCAGAAGGGGCAACUGGAAUUCUCGGUGUAGCGGUGAAAUGCGUAGAUAUCGGAAGGAACACCAGUGGCGAAAGCGACUUCCUGGUCCAAUACUGACGUUCAUGUGCGAAAGCGUGGGGAGCAAACAGG